rnacentral:rRNA from 1 species
AUUGAACGCUGGCGGCAGGCCUAACACAUGCAAGUCGAACGAGUGGCGGACGGGUGAGUAAUGUCUGGGAAACUGCCCGAUGGAGGGGGAUAACUACUGGAAACGGUAGCUAAUACCGCAUACCAUCGGAUGUGCACAGAUGGGAUUAGCUAGUAGGUGGGGUAACGGCUCAACUAGGCGACGAUCCCUAGCUGGUCUGAGAGGAUGACCAGUCACACUGGACCUGAGACACGGUCCAGACUCCUACGGGAGGCAGCAUUGGGGAAUAGUGCACAAGGGGCGCAAGCCUGAUGCAGCCAUGCCGCGUGUAUGAAGAAGGCCGUCGGGUCGUAAAGGACUUUCAGCGAGGAGGCGUUACUCGCAGAAGAAGCACCGGCUAACGCCGUGGCAGCAGCCGCGGUAAUAC